AGCAAUGAGUUUGAAACCAUUUUCAAGUUGGACCACAAAGCUCAUUUAGAGGGGGGUAAAUGCCACUUCUUGUCUCUAACACCCGGACAUGAUGUAGAAAAUAUGGUGGUCUCCACAAUGUGUAUGAUUCUUAACAAC